rnacentral:rRNA from 1 species
GUCUACAGCCAUGCUACCCUGAACAAGCCUGAUCCCAUCUGAUCUCGGAAGCUAAGUAGGGUUGGGCCUGGUUAGUACUUGGAUGGGAAACCACCUAGGAAGACCAGGUCUGUAGGCA